rnacentral:lncRNA from 1 species
AGCAAAACCAAGCAUGGCAACACGUCCCACAAAGAGCUCAUUUUGCUUGGUAAAACCAAUCCCUCCAGAGGUGCCAAAGAUCCCAUCUUCAACCUUUGGCUUUGGCUCAACCUUUUUAAAUUACAACAAGAAGAAUAUAAACACAAUUAAAAAAAAAAAGAGUAAAGUUAAAUCCCCACUAAAAAUAUACUAAAUGACAACCUAUCUAGAGAACAAAUUUGAAAUACAAUACCCUCUUGGGAGCUGCUUUGGUCUUUGAUUUAAAGACAGCUAAAGUGGUGAAAGCUUUGGGUGAAGUAUGGACACCAUUAGACAAUGGAUUGAAGAAGAGAUGAGAGGCAGGUUUAGGCUUGAGUCCUUGAGCUUGGAAAUGGAGUAAAGGGUGAUCUCUCUUCAAGC